rnacentral:rRNA from 1 species
GUGCACCAGGCGCGAAACCUCCGCAAUGCGGGAAACCGCGACGGGGGACCCCGAGUGCCGUGGCAACGCCACGGCUUUUCCGGAGUGUAAAAAGCUCCGGGAAUAAGGGCUGGGCAAGGCCGGUGGCAGCCGCCGCGGUAAUACCGGCGGCCCGAGUGGUGGCCGCUAUUAUUGGGCCUAAAGCGUCCGUAGCCGGGCCCGUAAGUCCCUGGCGAAAUCCCACGGCUCAACCGUGGGGCUUGCUGGGGAUACUGCGGGUCUUGGGACCGGGAGAGGCGGGGGGUACCCCUGGGGUAGGGGUGAAAUCCUAUAAUCCCAGGGGGACCGCCAGUGGCGAAGGCGCCCCGCUGGAACGGGUCCGACGGUGAGGGACGAAGGCCAGGGGAGCAAACCGGAUUAGAUACCCGUGUAGU